rnacentral:rRNA from 1 species
UACGGAGGAUCCAAGCGUUAUCCGGAAUCAUUGGGUUUAAAGGGUCCGUAGGCGGGCAGCUAAGUCAGUGGUGAAAGUCUGCAGCUCAACUGUAGAAAUGCCAUUGAUACUGGUUGUCUUGAAUCGUUGUGAAGUGGCUAGAAUAUGUGGUGUAGCGGUGAAAUGCUUAGAUAUCACAUAGAAUACCGAUUGCGAAGGCAGGUCACUAACAACGUAUUGACGCUGAUGGACGAAAGCGUGGGGAGCGAACAGG